CGGCGGACGGGUGAGUAAUGCCUACGAAUCUGCCUGGUAGUGGGGGAUAACGCUCGGAAACGGACGCUAAUACCGCAUACGUCCUACGGGAGAAAGCAGGGGACCUUCGGGCCUUGCGCUAUCAGAUGAGCCUAGGUCGGAUUAGCUAGUUGGUGAGGUAAUGGCUCACCAAGGCGACGAUCCGUAACUGGUCUGAGAGGAUGAUCAGUCACACUGGAACUGAGACACGGUCCAGACUCCUACGGGAGGCAGCAGUGGGGAAUAUUGGACAAUGGGCGAAAGCCUGAUCCAGCCAUGCCGCGUGUGUGAAGAAGGUCUUCGGAUUGUAAAGCACUUUAAGUUGGGAGGAAGGGCAUUAACCUAAUACGUUAGUGUUUUGACAUUA
rnacentral:rRNA from 1 species